AUCUUUCUCUAGAGUUGUAUAUAUAGACCAUCCUGGAGUCCACCAUGAGCGGACAGUUGGUUCUAAGUGGGAAGCUAAUCAUCAAAGCUCAACUUGGGGAGGACAUUCGGUGAAUUCCUAUUCAUAAUGAAGAUAUUACUUAUGAUGAGUUAGUGCUAAUGAUGCAACGAGUUUUCAGAGGAAAAAUUCUGAGUCAUGAUAAAGUCACAAUAAAGUAUAAAGAUGAAGAUGGAGAUCUUAUAACAAUUUUUGAUAGUUCUGAUCUUUCCUUUGCAAUACAAUAUAGUAGAAUACUGAAACUGACAUUGUUUGUUAAUGGCCAACCAAGAUCCCUGGAAUCAAGUCAGGUGAAAUAUCUUCGUCGAGAACUGAUAGAACUUCGAAAUAAAGUGAAUCAAUUAUGAGAUAGCUUGGAAACACCUGGAGAACCAGAACCAUCCACUAAUAUUCCUGAAAAUGAUACUGUGGAUGGUAGGGAAGAAAAGCCUGCUUCUUCUGAUUCUUCUGGAAAACAGUCCACUCAGGUUAUGGCAGCAAGUAUGUCAGCUUUUGAUCCUUUGAAAAACCAAGAUGAAAUCAAUAAAAAUGUUAUGUCAGCAUUUGGCUUAACAGAUGAUCAGGUUUCAGGGCCACCCAGUGCUCCUGCAGAAUACGGUUCAGGAACACCGGACAGCAUUGCUUCCUCUUCCUCAGCAGCUCAUCCAACAGUUCAGCCACAGCAACCACCAUAUACAGGAGCUCAGACACAAGCAGGUCAGAUUGAAGGUCAGAUGUACCAACAGCACCAGCAGCAGGCUGGCUAUGGAGCACAGCAGCCACAGGCUCAGCCCCAGUCGCCUCAGCAGUAUGGUAUUCAGUAUUCAGCAAGCUAUAGUCAGCAGACUGGAUGCAAACCACCUCAGCAGUUCGAGCGAUACGGCCAACAACCAACUUCCCAGGCACCAGGUCCUGCCUUUUCUGGUCAGCCUCAACAACUGCCUGCUCAGCCACCACAGCAGUACCAGGCGAGCAAUUAUCCUGCACAAACUUAUGCCACCCAAACUUCUCAGCCUACUAUUUAUACUGGGGCCCCUGCCUCUCAGCCUGGAGUGGCUCCAACCCAGCCUGGGGCCUAUCAACCAAGACCAGGUUUUACUCCUCUUCCUGGAAGUACCAUGAUCCCUCCUCCAAGUGGCCCUAACCCCUAUGCAUGUAACCGUCCUCCCUUUGGUCAGGGCUAUACCUAACCUGGACUUGGUUAUCGAUAAGGAGAUUUUGCUACACUGAACAAUGUAGCUGCUAGCUAUUUGCCUCCCAAAAGACUCCAAAACUACUAUUUUAAUUUGUAUUGAAGUUCAGAAAUUUAAAAAGCAGAGCAUUUUUUUUAAUGAUAUCAUUGUUGCUGUUAAUUGAAAGUAUAAUUUGCUGGAAUACAAACACCAAAAUGAAAGUUUUUUCCUCCCUGCUUAAAAAUGUAGCAGCUUCCUAGUUAUUUUGGAACACUACUCCUAUAUGUGUAUAAAGUGAUUGACUUUCUAGCUUUCCUUGUCCAGAGGAUAUUAAAAUGCUAGGUUGAGGUUUAGCCAUCUUACUUGGCUUUU